AGUACACAUUGCUAGGUUGAGCCCAUUGACUGGCCGAUGAACUCUCAAGUGUUGGUAGUAUGCUACACGAUGAGUAACUUUUUCACUAACACAAGGGUUUCUGUCCCGAUGAGUGUAGUUUAAUAGUAAUCAUUGCUACAAAU
rnacentral:snoRNA from 1 species